GACGAACGCUGGCGGCGUGCCUAAUACAUGCAAGUCGAGCGGACCGAAGGGAGCUUGCUCCUUUAGGUUAGCGGCGGACGGGUGAGUAACACGUGGGCAACCUGCCCUGCAGACUGGGAUAACUUCGGGAAACCGGAGCUAAUACCGGAUAACACCGAAGACCGCAUGGUUUUCGGUUGAAAGGCGGCUUUUAGCUGUCACUGCAGGAUGGGCCCGCGGCGCAUUAGCUAGUUGGUGAGGUAACGGCUCACCAAGGCGACGAUGCGUAGCCGACCUGAGAGGGUGAACGGCCACAAGGGGACUGAGACACGGCCCUU
rnacentral:rRNA from 1 species